UACGUAGGUGGCAAGCGUUGUCCGGAUUUACUGGGCGUAAAGAGCGCGCAGGCGGUCGUUCAAGUCGCGUGUGAAAGCCCCCGGCUCAACUGGGGAGGGUCACGCGAUACUGUUCGACUCGAAGGCAGGAGAGGGAAGUGGAAUUCCCGGUGUAGUGGUGAAAUGCGUAGAUAUCGGGAGGAACACCAGUGGCGAAGGCGACUUCCUGGCCUGUUCUUGACGCUGAGGCGCGAAAGCUAGGGGAGCAAACAGG
rnacentral:rRNA from 1 species